rnacentral:rRNA from 1 species
GGUAGCACAGGGGAGCUUGCUCCCUGGGUGACGAGCGGCGGACGGGUGAGUAAUGUCUGGGAAACUGCCUGAUGGAGGGGGAUAACUACUGGAAACGGUAGCUAAUACCGCAUAACGUCGCAAGACCAAAGAGGGGGACCUUCGGGCCUCUUGCCAUCAGAUGUGCCCAGAUGGGAUUAGCUAGUAGGUGGGGUAAUGGCUCACCUAGGCGACGAUCCCUAGCUGGUCUGAGAGGAUGACCAGCCACACUGGAACUGAGACACGGUCCAGACUCCUACGGGAGGCAGCAGUGGGGAAUAUUGCACAAUGGGCGCAAGCCUGAUGCAGCCAUGCCGCGUGUGUGAAGAAGGCCUUCGGGUUGUAAAGCACUUUCAGCGAGGAAGGUGGUGAGCUUAAUACGCUCAUCAAUUGACGUUACUCGCAGAAGAAGCACCGGCUAACUCCGUGCCAGCAGCCGCGGUAAUACGGAGUUCCCGGGUGCAAGCG